CAUGGGAACUGUCUCAGAAUAGAAGUGUUAGGGGGGGCAGGAAUUGGUCUAGUCAUCCCCUCUCCAGAGUGGCACCUCCUGUCCACUUCAUGAGGCGCUGACUCGGGGAGCCGUCCCAGAUCUCGAGAGAGUGGGAGGAAAGCCAGUGCCAGCAAGGGCAGGAGAGGUGUGUAGGGGGUGGGGGUGUUACAGAUAGAACCAGAGGAGAGGGUGGAGCAGCUGCCUCCUGACCUAGGAGGGACUGCACUUCAGCUUCGGGAAACCCCAGA
rnacentral:lncRNA from 1 species